ACCGGCGCACGGGUGCGUAACGCGUAUGCAACUUGCCUUUAACUGGAAGAUAUCCCAAAGAAAUUUGGAUUAAUACUCCAUAACAUCACGAAUUCGCCUGUUUUUGUGAUUAAAGCUCCGGCGGUUAAAGAUAGGCAUGCGUCUGAUUAGCUAGUUGGUGAGGUAACGGCUCACCAAGGCAACGAUCAGUAGGGGGCCUGAGAGGGUGAACCCCCACACUGGUACUGAGACACGGACCAGACUCCUACGGGAGGCAGCAGUGAGGAAUAUUGGUCAAUGGAGGCAACUCUGAACCAGCCAUCCCGCGUGAAGGAUGAAUGCCCUAGUGGUUGUAAACUUCUUUUAUAUGGGAAUAAACCUGGGUACGUGUACCCAGCUGAAGGUACCAUAUGAAUAAGCAUCGGCUAACUCCGUGCCAGCAGCCGCGGUAAUACGGAGGAUGCAAGCGUUAUCCGGAUUUAUUGGGUUUAAAGGGUCCGCAGGCGGACUAUUAAGUCAGUGGUGAAAGCCUGCAGCUUAACUGUAGAACUGCCAUUGAUACUGAUAGUCUUGAGUGUGGUUGAUGUGGGCGGAAUAUGACAUGUAGCGGUGAAAUGCAUAGAGAUGUCAUAGAACACCGAUUGCGAAGGCAGCUCACAAAACCAUUACUGACGCUCAGGGACGAAAGCGUGGGGAGCAAACAGGAUUAGAUACCCUGGUAGUCCACGCAGUAAACGAUGAUUACUCGA
rnacentral:rRNA from 1 species